CACGAACGCUGGCGGCAGGCUUAACACAUGCAAGUCGAGCGCCGAGGAAGGGGAGCGGCAGACGGGUGAGUAACGCGUGGGAAUCUACCGUGCCCUGCGGAAUAGCUCCGGGAAACUGGAAUUAAUACCGCAUACGCCCUACGGGGGAAAGAUUUAUCGGGGUAUGAUGAGCCCGCGUUGGAUUAGCUAGUUGGUGGGGUAAAGGCCUACCAAGGCGACGAUCCAUAGCUGGUCUGAGAGGAUGAUCAGCCACAUUGGGACUGAGACACGGCCCAAACUCCUACGGGAGGCAGCAGUGGGGAAUAUUGGACAAUGGGCGCAAGCCUGAUCCAGCCAUGCCGCGUGAGUGAUGAAGGCCCUAGGGUUGUAAAGCUCUUUCAACGGUGAAGAUAAUGACGGUAACCGUAGAAGAAGCCCCGGCUAACUUCGUGCCAGCCGCCGCGGUAAGAC
rnacentral:rRNA from 1 species